rnacentral:rRNA from 1 species
GACGAACGCCGGCGGCGUGCUUAACACAUGCAAGUCGAACGGAAAGGCCCUGCUUAUGUGGGGUGCUCGAGUGGCGAACGGGUGAGUAACACGUGAGUAACCUGCCCUUGACUUUGGGAUAACUUCAGGAAACUGGGGCUAAUACCGGAUAGGAGCUCCUGCUGCAUGGUGGGGGUUGGAAAGUUUCGGCGGUUGGGGAUGGACUCGCGGCUUAUCAGCUUGUUGGUGGGGUAGUGGCUUACCAAGGCUUUGACGGGUAGCCGGCCUGAGAGGGUGACCGGCCACAUUGGGACUGAGAUACGGCCCAGACUCCUACGGGAGGCAGCAGUGGGGAAUAUUGCACAAUGGGCGGAAGCCUGAUGCAGCAACGCCGCGUGCGGGAUGACGGCCUUCGGGUUGUAAACCGCUUUCGCCUGUGACGAAGCGUGAGUGACGGUAAUGGGUAAAGAAGCACCGGCUAACUACGUG